rnacentral:rRNA from 1 species
CACUCCUGCGGGAGGCAGCAGUGGGGAAUAUUGCACAAUGGGCGCAAGCCUGAUGCAGCCAUGCCGCGUGUAUGAAGAAGGCCUUCGGGUUGUAAAGUACUUUCAGCGGGGAGGAAGGCGAUAAGGUUAAUAACCUUGUCGAUUGACGUUACCCGCAGAAGAAGCACCGGCUAACUCCGUGCCAGCAGCCGCGGUAAUACGGAGGGUGCAAGCGUUAAUCGGAAUUACUGGGCGUAAAGCGCACGCAGGCGGUCUGUCAAGUCGGAUGUGAAAUCCCCGGGCUCAACCUGGGAACUGCAUUCGAAACUGGCAGGCUAGAGUCUUGUAGAGGGGGGUAGAAUUCCAGGUGUAGCGGUGAAAUGCGUAGAGAUCUGGAGGAAUACCGGUGGCGAAGGCGGCCCCCUGGACAAAGACUGACGCUCAGGUGCGAAAGCGUGGGGAGCAAACAGGAUUAGAAACCCCAGUAGUCCCAUGAU